CAGCAGCCACGGGAAUACGGAGGGUGCAAGCGUUAAUCGGAAUUACUGGGCGUAAAGCGCACGCAGGCGGUCUGACAAGUCAGAUGUGAAAUCCCCGGGCUUAACCUGGGAACUGCAUUUGAAACUGUCAGGCUGGAGUCUUGUAGAGGGGGGUGGAAUUCCAGGUGUAGCGGUGAAAUGCGUAGAGAUCUGGAGGAAUACCGGUGGCGAAGGCGGCCCCCUGGACAAAGACUGACGCUCAGGUGCGAAAGCGUGGGGAGCAAACAGGAUUAGAUACCCCUGUAGUCCCUGUCUCUUAUAU
rnacentral:rRNA from 1 species